rnacentral:rRNA from 3 species
UACCGCAAACCGACACAGGUAGUCAAGAUGAGAAUUCUAAGGUGAGCGAGCGAACUCUCGUUAAGGAACUCGGCAAAAUGACCCCGUAACUUCGGGAGAAGGGGUGCUCUUUAGGGUUAACGCCCAGAAGAGCCGCAGUGAAUAGGCCCAAGCGACUGUUUAUCAAAAACACAGGUCUCUGCUAAACCGUAAGGUGAUGUAUAGGGGCUGACGCCUGCCCGGUGCUGGAAGGUUAAGAGGAGUGGUUAGCUUCUGCGAAGCUACGAAUCGAAGCCCCAGUAAACGGCGGCCGUAACUAUAACGGUCCUAAGGUAGCGAAAUUCCUUGUCGGGUAAGUUCCGACCCGCACGAAAGGCGUAACGAUUUGGGCACUGUCUCAACGAGAGACUCGGUGAAAUCAUAGUACCUGUGAAGAUGCAGGUUACCCGCGACAGGACGGAAAGACCCCGUGGAGCUUUACUGUAGCCUGAUAUUGAAAUUCGGCACAGCUUGUACAGGAUAGGUAGGAGCCUUUGAAACGUGAGCGCUAGCUUACGUGGAGGCGCUGGUGGGAUACUACCCUAGCUGUGUUGGCUUUCUAACCCGCACCACUUAUCGUGGUGGGAGACAGUGUCAGGCGGGCAGUUUGACUGGGGCGGUCGCCUCCUAAAAGGUAACGGAGGCGCUCAAAGGUUCCCUCAGAAUGGUUGGAAAUCAUUCAUAGAGUGUAAAGGCAUAAGGGAGCUUGACUGCGAGACCUACAAGUCGAGCAGGGUCGAAAGACGGACUUAGUGAUCCGGUGGUUCCGCAUGGAAGGGCCAUCGCUCAACGGAUAAAAGCUACCCCGGGGAUAACAGGCUUAUCUCCCCCAAGAGUUCACAUCGACGGGGAGGUUUGGCACCUCGAUGUCGGCUCAUCGCAUCCUGGGGCUGUAGUCGGUCCCAAGGGUUGGGCUGUUCGCCCAUUAAAGCGGUACGCGAGCUGGGUUCAGAACGUCGUGAGACAGUUCGGUCCCUAUCCGUCGUGGGCGUAGGAAAUUUGAGAGGAGCUGUCCUUAGUACGAGAGGACCGGGAUGGACAUACCUCUGGUGUACCAGUUGUCGUGCCAACGGCAUAGCUGGGUAGCUAUGUGUGGACGGGAUAAGUGCUGAAAGCAUCUAAGCAUGAAGCCCCCCUCAAGAUGAGAUUUCCCAACUUCGGUUAUAAGAUCCCUCAAAGAUGAUGAGGUUAAUAGGUUCGAGGUGGAAGCAUGGUGACAUGUGGAGCUGACGAAUACUAAUCGAUCGAAGACUUAAUCAA